rnacentral:rRNA from 1 species
GUUAAGCGACUAAGCGUACACGGUGGAUGCCCUGGCAGUCAGAGGCGAUGAAGGGCGUGCUAAUCUGCGAUAAGCGCCGGUAAGGUGAUAUGAACCGUUAUAACCGGCGAUACCCGAAUGGGGAAACCCAGUGUGAUUCGUCACACUAUCAUUAACUGAAUCCAUAGGUUAAUGAGGCGAACCGGGGGAACUGAAACAUCUAAGUACCCCGAGGAAAAGAAAUCAACCGAGAUUCCCCCAGUAGCGGCGAGCGAACGGGGAGGAGCCCAGAGCCUGAAUCAGCAUGUGUGUUAGUGGAAGCGUCUGGAAAGGCGCGCGAUACAGGGUGACAGCCCCGUACACAAAAGCGCAUGUGCUGUGAGCUCGAUGAGUAGGGCGGGACACGUGGUAUCCUGUCUGAAUAUGGGGGGACCAUCCUCCAAGGCUAAAUACUCCUGACUGACCGAUAGUGAACCAGUACCGUGAGGGAAAGGCGAAAAGAACCCCGGCGAGGGGAGUGAAAAAGAACCUGAAACCGUGUACGUACAAGCAGUGGGAGCACAGGU